CGGUUAAAAAGCUCGUAGUUGGAUUUCUGUCGAGGACGGUCGGUCCACACUUUGUGUGAGUAUCUGAUUCGGCCUUGGCAUCCUCUUGAAAAACGUUUCUGCGCUUGAUUGCGUGGAGCGGAGUUCAAGACUUUUACUUUGAGGAAAUUAGAGUGUUCACGGCAGGCAAACGCCUUGAAUAUAUUAGCAUGGAAUAAUAAUAUAGGACCUUUGUUCUAUUUUGUUGGUUUCUAGAGCGAAGGUAAUGAUUAAUAGGGAUAAUUGGGGGCAUUUGUAUUAACGCGUCAGAGGUGGAAUUCUUGGAUUGCGUUACGACAAACUACUGCGAAAGCAUUUGCCAAGGAUGUUUUCAUUGAUCAAGAACGAAAGUUAGGGGAUCGAAGACGCUUAGAUACCGUCGUAGUCUUAACCAUAAACUAUGCCGACUAGAGAUUGGAGGUCGUUCUUUUUAUGACUCCUUCAGCACCUUAUGAGAAAUCAAAGUCUUUGGGUUCCGGGGGGAGUAUGGUCGCAAGGCUGAAACUUAAAGGAAUUGACGGAAGGGCACCACCAGGAGUGGAGCCUGCGGCUUAAUUUGACUCAACACGGGAAAACUUACCAGGUCCAGACAUAGUGAGGAUUGACAGAUUGAUAGCUCU
rnacentral:rRNA from 1 species